ACCCAAUAGAUACCCGGGUAGUCCACGCCCUAAACGAUGGAUACUAGGCGUAAGAGGUAUCGACCCCUCUUGUGCCGCAGCUAAACGCAUUAAGUAUCCCGCCUGGGGAGUACGGCCGCAAGGUUGAAACUCAAAUGAAUUGACGGGGACCCGCACAAGCGGUGGAGCAUGUGGAUUAAUUCGAUACUAACCGAAGAACCUUACCCAGGUUUGACAUCGAUUGUAAAGCUCUAGAGAUAGGGCCCUCCCCCACAAGGGGACGAUGAAGACACUUGUUGCAUGGCUGUCGUCAGCUCGUGCCGUGAGGUGUACGGUUAAGUCCGCCAACGAGCGCAACCCUCGUCCUGUGUUACCAGCGAUUAAAGUCGGGAACUCACAGGAGACCGCCGGUGUAAGCCGGAGGAAGGUGAGGAUGACGUCAAGUCAGCAUGGCAGUUACGCCUGGGGCGUUCACACAUGCUACAAUGGGCGAAACAAUGGGCAGCAAUACCGCGAGGUGGAGCAAAUCCCAAAACUACGCCCCACGUUCAGAUUGCAGUCUGC
rnacentral:rRNA from 1 species